rnacentral:lncRNA from 10 species
UGAGAAUCUAAUGCCACCAAUGAUCUGACAAGAGGCAGAGCUCAGGUAGUAAUGUGAGCGAUGGAGAGUGGCUGUAAAUACAGAUGAAGCUUCACCUGCUCACCCACCACUCACCUCCUGCUGUGUAGCCUGGUUCCUAACAGGCCAUGACUGGUACCAGUCUGUGGCCCGGGGGUUGGGGACCCCUGAUCUAAAACUUCUACCUACCACACAAAUGCUGUAAUAAAAAGACCCAAAAUAUCAUGGCUUAAACAUGAUAGUUUAUUUUUUUCUCUCACAUAACCAUCCAAAUAUAAGUACUCUGAGGCUACCACGGUAGCCUUCAGUUGUUCUGCCUUCUCCAAGGAAGUAGUCCUCAUCUUUAAGGUCCAAAAUAAUUUACCACCAUGUGUGCCACGUCCCAUCCCAACUAGUGAGAUGGAGGGAAAAGGAAAGGAGAAGGCAUACCCUUUCUUUUAAGGGCACAGCCUGGCAACUGCACACAUCAAUCACAUGACCAAGCCUAGCUGUAAGGAAAGCUACAAAAUCUAAUCUUCAUUUUCAGUGGUCAUAUGCCAACAGAAAAUUUAGAGGUUCUUUACAUAAAGAAAGGAGACAAUGGAUACUAGAGGACCACUAGUGGUUUACACAACUAGUUGAACAGUAGAAGAGUGAACACUUCUUCAAGAUGCUCUCAAGGCUUACUCUCUCAAUUCUCUGCUCAAAUGUCACCUUAUUAGUGAGUUCUUCCCUAACUGCCCAACAGAAAAUAGCAACUCUCUCCCCAACAUCCUUAUCCUCUUUACUUGCAUUACUUCUCUCCACAGCACUUAUUACCACUUCAUAUAAAUACUUAUUUAUUUCCUAUUUCCCCUGACUAGAAAUAUAAGCUCCAUGGUAGCAGAGAUUCUGAUUGCUGCCUACUCUAUCCCCAGCUCCUAUACUAGGCACCAUGAGUACAUGAUCAGAAAAUAUUCAUGGAAAAAAAUACAUAAAUGUAUAACAAUCUUCAUUUGUGAGUAAGAAGAUGGGCUCUGGAAUCAGACUGCCUGGAUUGAAAUCCUAACUUCAUCACUUACUAGUCAUGGGAUAUUUUACCUCAGUUUCACUUUUUGAAAAUGAAGAUAAUAAUGUCUACCUUAUAGUAUUGUGAGGAUUAAGUGAAUUAAUGCACACAAAAUGCUUUAGAAUAGAGCCUGGUAAGUAGUAGACAUUUGAUAUAAUUGUUAAGUGUUUAGUUGUUAUUAAUUUUGACAUAACGAUGAACAAGACAAAGGAUUCAGUGAGGGCAUGAAUAAAGAGCAUGGACAACUCUUUCAUAAAAGGGCAAGGAACGGUACCUGAGUCACAAUAGUCCUUAAAGUUUAAGGCCUUGAAACAAGAAAAAGGUGGGUGCGGUGGCUCAUUCCUGUAAUCCCAAAACUUUGGGAGACUGAGGUGGAAGGAUCACUUGAGCCCACGAGGUUAAGGCUGCAGUGAGCCGUGUUCAUACCACCACACUCCAGCCUGGGCAACAGAGCAAAACCCUGUCUCAAAAAACAAAAACAACAAAAAAACACAAUCAAAGCUCUUCAGACAAAGACAGAAAGGAAUUCUGUUCAGCAAGCUCUGCUGAACCCUCAACACUGCCUAAAACUCUGUUUCUUUUGUCAGUUCACUCUUCCAUUCCGGGCAAUCAGUAUUUCAAACCUCUUGUACUCUCUCAUCUUCCAUUUCCUUCUGCUUUAUUCUCAGAUGAUGACUUUACCUUCUAUUUGAAAAAAAAAUGAGAUGCUGUAUUAUCAAUCAGCAUUCUCCAGAGAAGCAGAAUCAAUAAGAUAUAUAUAUUCAUAUAAAGACAUAUAUUUUAAGAAAUUGGCUAACACAUGUGUGGGAGCUGGUAAAUCCAAAAUCUGUAGGGCAGGCUGGCAUGAUGGAAACUCAUGCAGAAGUUAAUGAUGCAGUCUUAUUUUUUCCUCUUUUUUAAAUUUUUAUUUUUUUAGAGACAAAACCUCACUCUGUUGCCCAGGCUGGAGUACAGAUCAUAGCUCACUGCAACCUUGAACUCCUGAACUCAAGCAAUCUUUCCAUCUUGGCCUCCCAAAGCAUUCGGAUUACAGGUGUGAACCACUGCACCUGGCCCGAUGCUGCAGUCUUGAGGCAGAAUUUCUUCUUCUCUGAGAAACCUCAGUUUUACUCUGAAGGCUUUCAACAGACCCACAUUAUCAAGAGUAAUCUCCUUUAUUUAAAGUCAACUAAGUGUACAUGUUACCCAUACCUAUAAAAAUGCCUUCACAGUAACACCCAAAUUAGGGUUUGAUUAAAUAACUGGGUACUAUAGCCUAGCCAAGUUGACACACAAAACUAACCAUCACAUGCUAUUUAAAAGGAAUUCUCUCAAUCUCCAAAUGCUAAAUUUUAAAAUCAUUUAGAUCUGCUCUUAUCCAUUCCUCCCUCCUUACUGUUACCAAUUAGAGAUGCUCUUUCUCUCUCUAAAGGCAAGUUCUAUACCUUUGCCCUGGGACUAUUCUUUCUUGCCUCCUUUCACUCAACAAAUAUUUAUUGAGUAUCAACUGCAUCAGGCACUGUUUUCAGUGUUUGGUUAUAUCAGUGUACAAAACAGAAACAGUGACAGAAAUUCCUGAGUUAUGGACCUUACAUUCGAGUGGGAGGGACAGAUAAUAAAGAAUAAAAUGACACUUUGGGAGGCUGAGGCGGGCGGAUCACGAGGUCAGGAGAUCGAGACCAUCCUGGCUAACACAGUGAAACCCCGUCUCUACUAAAAAUACAAAAAACUAGCCGGCAGUGGUAGUGGGCGCCUGUAGUCCCAGCUACUUGGGAGGCUGAGGCAGGAGAAUCGCUUGAACCUGGGAGGUGGAGGUUGUAGUGAGCCGAGAUCAUGCCACUGCACUCCAGUCUGGGCAACAGAGCGAGACUUCAUCUCAAAAAAAAAAAAAAAAGAAUAAAAUGAAUAAACUACAUAGCAUGUGAGAAGUGAUACGUGUUAUGGAAAAAAACAAAGCAAAGAGAAUCAGGAAUGUCUAAGGGAGCAUGGGUUACCAUUUUAAACACGAUAAUCAGAGUAAGCCUGAAUAAAAAGGUGACAUCUGACAUCUGAGCAAGGACUUGAAGGAAAGGAGGACAGACCUUCUCCCUAUCUUUUGUCUGGUUUAUUUUAUUAUUUUGAGACAGGGUCUUGCUCUGUCACCCAGGCUGGAGGGCAGUGAGGUGAUCAUGGCUCACUGCAGUCUUGAUCUCCCGAGAUCAAGCAAUCCUCACACCUCAGCCUCCCAAGUAGCUGGGACUACAGGCAUGUGCCACCACGCCCAGCAUAUUUUGGUUUUCGUUUUUUUUUUUUUGUAGAUAUGGGGUCUCACUAUGUUCCCCAGGCUGGUCUCGAACUCCUGGGCUCAAGCAAUCCUCCCGCCUUGGCCUCCCAAAGCGCUGGGAUUAUAGGUGUGAGUCACCAUGCCAGGCCUGUCUGGUUAAUUUUAAUUCAUCCUUUGGGUCUCAGCUUCAAAAUCACUUCCAGUGAAGCUCUCCUUCAUCCCUCAAACAGAAAAAGUUUGCACUUCUGUAUGUUUCCAUUACAAGAUGCAUUUCUUCUUUAUAACAUUCAUCACAGUUGUGAUUACUGGUCCUAUAUUAACCUUCACGUAACUACGUUAAGUUUCAAGAGAACACGGAUUGAACGUUCUCGUUCAGCUCUGUAUCUGCAGGGCUUAAGCUAAAAUUGGUAAAAGCAGUCACUCAAAUAUCUGUGGAAUAUGUGAAUAUAUAGAUGAAUGUGGGGCAUACCCAGAAAAGGAAAAACAGAAUCUCUAUUACAUGUAACUAAGCUAAUUCCUAACUAAUCAAAAGGGGUCUAGACUCAAGACAAAAAGCUAUUAGGAAGCACUCUGUUGAGCCCCUGUGUCUCCGUGCUGGAGCUGCAGGGACUCCUUUUUUAAAAAUUAAAUUAAAAAAAUUUUUUAAGUGUAACAACAACAAAAGCUGUUAGGAGACUGCUGCUGUAAUCUGUGUAAGAGCUGAUAAAAUUUUAAGGGGCCGGGCGCAGUGGCUCACACCUGCAAUCCCAGCACUUUGGGAAGCUGAGGCGGUUGGAUAACCUGAGGUCAGGAGUUUGAGACCAGCCCGACCAACAAGGUGAAACCCCAUCUCUACUAAAAAUACAAAAAUUAGCUAGGUGUGGUGAUGGGCACCUGUAAUCCCAGCUGCUUGGGAGGCAUCAGGCAGGAGACUCGCCGAGGAGAGGUGGAGGUUGCAGUGAGCAGAGAUUGCAUCAUUGCACACCAGCCUGGGCAGAGCGAGACUCCAUCUUAAAAAAAAAAAAUAAAGCUGAUAAAAGUUUGGUUAAGGUAAUAACAAUGAAGAUGGAGAGAAGGAAAAUGGUUUAAGAGAUAUUUAAGCAGAACUAUAGGACUUAGAAAUUAGGUGGAAACUAGAAUGGCAGAGUGAUUUGCUCCAGACGGGGCCUUUUAGAUGUUGACUGAUCUGUGACUAUUAAGGGUAGAAGAUAACACCUACUGAGAUUUUGGGUGAAAAACAUCUUUAAAUCAUUGGAAAAACGUCAAAGGUUAGAUGUGCAGGUUCACUUCUGUCUCUUCUGAUAAAAAAGCCUUUCUCUUAGUUAAUAGCAAAUUGAGCUGGGAGGAGAUUCAAAGAUGCUCAUUCAACAAAUAUUUGUUGAGCACACAUUAUAUGCCAAGCACUGUGAUAAGGAUACAAUGGUGAGCAAUACAGACAUGGACUCUGACUUUAUGAGGUAUAUAAUGAAACACCAUUAAAAGCACUACACACCGGCUGCUUGCUUUGCUCCAUGCCUCCCUGAUGAAGCCCCC